CACGUAGGGCGCGAGCGUUGUCCGGAAUUAUUGGGCGUAAAGAGCUCGUAGGCGGCCUGUUGCGUCCGCUGUGAAAGCCCGGGGCUUAACCCCGGGUCGGCAGUGGAUACGGGCAGGCUAGAGGUAGGUAGGGGAGAAUGGAAUUCCCGGUGUAGCGGUGAAAUGCGCAGAUAUCAGGAGGAACACCAAUGGCGAAGGCAGCUCGCUGGGACGUGACUGACGCUGAGGCGCGACAGCGUGGGGAGCAAACAGG
rnacentral:rRNA from 1 species